UACAGAGGUCUCAAGCGUUGUUCGGAUUCAUUGGGCGUAAAGGGCGCGUAGGCGGCCUGAUAAGUCGGGGGUGAAAUUCUGCGGCUUAACCGCAGGACGGCCUUCGAGACUGUCGGGCUUGAGCACGGUAGAGGCUGGAGGUGAAUUCCCGGUGUAGCGGUGGAAUGCGUAGAGAUCGGGAAGAACAUCGGUGGCGAAGGCG
rnacentral:rRNA from 1 species